CAAGAGCGUAUAUUAAAGUUGUUGCAGUUAAAAGCUCGUAGUUGGAUUUCUGGUACAACGCGCCUGGCCCGCUUUUGUUGAGUGCCGGUGCGCGUUUGCCAUCCUUCUAGAAAACGUUUCUACCCGGGUAACUGGGCCGGACUCGCGAUCUAGAUCUUUUACUUUGAAAAAUUAGAGUGUUUAAAGCAGGCUAUUGCCUUGAAUACAUUAGCAUGGAAUAAUAAUCUAGGACUUCGGUUCUAUUUUGUUGGUUUCUAGUACUGAAGUAAUGAUUGAUAGGGAUAGUUUGGGGGUGGCUAGUAUUGACCGGUCCAGCAGGGCUGGUAAAAUUUCUUGGAUUCGGUCAAGACUAACUUAUGCGAAAGCAUUCACCAAGGAUGUCUUCUUUAAUCAAGAAC
rnacentral:rRNA from 1 species